rnacentral:misc_RNA from 1 species
GACGAACAAAACAAUUAAAAUUGAUAAACAAAUAAAUAGCUCUGCUUAUGCCAUAUGGUACAUGGUAGAUCAUAUGAUAUAAGACCCAAAAGAAGAGGCAGGAAAACCAACAAUCAACUACAAAAAUCACAAGGCAUUCCAAAACCUUAAGAGUUGACAGUUUGAAUAAAAACAAAGUGGAAUGACAUGAAACUAAAAUCAGAACAUUUUGCACUUUGCAGUAUAGGAUGUUAAUGACUGACCAUUAACAGCUCCAUAAGCACACCUCUGUUGAAUUAAAAAUGCAACAUGAAGUCAAAAACAUUAAAUUUAAUGAAGACCAUUUGAAUUUGAUCAUUGUAC